CGGGGCGUAGCGCAGUUUGGUAGCGUGCUUGAAUGGGGUUCAAGAGGUCCGCGGUUCAAAUCCGCGCGCCCCGACCA
rnacentral:tRNA from 1 species